rnacentral:rRNA from 1 species
ACUUUCAACAACGGAUCUCUUGGUUCUGGCAUCNAUGAAGAACGCAGCGAAAUGCGAUAAGUAGUGUGAAUUGCAGAAUUCAGUGAAUCAUCGAAUCUUUGAACGCACAUUGCGCCCCUUGGUAUUCCAUGGGGCAUGCCUGUUCGAGCGUCAUUUG